GGGGGAGCGGUCGAAGGUGGGAUUGGCGAUUGGGACGAAGUCGUAACAAGGUAGCCGUACCGGAAGGUGCGGCUGGAUCACCUCCUU
rnacentral:rRNA from 5 species